rnacentral:rRNA from 1 species
GACCUCAAAUCAGGCAGGAGUACCCGCUGAACUUAAGCAUAUCAAUAAGCGGAGGAAAAGAAACCAACAGGGAUUGCCUCAGUAACUGCGAGUGAAGCGGCAAGAGCUCAAAUUUGAAAUCUGGCACUUUCAGUGUCCGAGUUGUAAUUUGUAGAAGCAUCUUUUGAAUUGGUCCUUGCAUAUGUUCCUUGGAACAGGACAUCAUAGAGGGUGAGAAUCCCGUUCAUGGUGGGGAAUCCAAUUCUUUGUAAAGUGCUUUCGAAGAGUCGAGUUGUUUGGGAUUGCAGCUCUAAGUGGGUGGUAAAUUCCAUCUAAAGCUAAAUAUUGGCGAGAGACCGAUAGCGAACAAGUACAGUGAUGGAAAGAUGAAAAGUACUCCGAAAGGAGAGUGAAAAAGGACGUGAAAUUGUUGAAAGGGAAGUGCUUGAGAUCAGUCUUAGGGUUUAGUGAUCAGUCUUCCUUUUGGUUGGUGCACUCACUAUUUCUUAGGCCAACAUCAGUUUUCGCGGUAGGAUAAUGACAUUGGAAUGUGGCUCUUUCGGGAGUGUUAUAGACUUUGUUGAUACUACUUGCUUAGACUGAGGUCUGCGCUUUUUGCUAGGAUGUUGGCAUAAUGAUCUUAAGCAGCCCGUCUUGAAACACGGACCAAGGAGUCUAACAACUAUGCGAGUGUUUGGGUGUUAAACCCGUACGCAUAAUGA